AGAAGGGAAGUGGGAGAGACUUAGAAGCUGGCCAGCAGGGAAGCUGCUGAUGGGAAAAUGACUGUCAAGGGUUUUCUGUACAUACUAGCGGCAUCACACUGGGAUUCAAUUUUUUUUUUCUCUUUAUCACUCCUGUAGGUAAGGAGGAGAAAAGAAAGAAAGAAAAAUUGGAAAGAUAAAUGGGGUCUUCCAGUGAAGAAGAAAAAGCUCCACUUCUGGAUUUGUUUUGUUAUGCCCAGACCGUUUGUUCCCCAAAGAAGACCACCAGAGUCCAGAGUCAAAGCCAAGCGGCAAGGAUCUUUACUGCAAGUUCGAACUUGGUUCCUCCAUUCCACAGCGUACAAGAGGGCCCCGAACAAUGUGAGUGCUUGCUUUUUAUAGCCCGAUGUAAACAGGAUAUGUAAAGUUACAGGGGAACAAGGUAAUUCUCUCAGUUACAGCACAUUUAGCAUUUUUUAUUGGUUCCCGCUGUGUCCUUAUCGGGGAUUUCCUAGGUGGUGUUUUUCUGAAGUUUGAGAGAAAUAUGGAGGAAUGUGUUUGUGCUGGGCUCAGGAAGUUGGGAGAUAUAUGGGGGAUGUGCCUCAUUCCUUUCAGUUUCUGCUAAUAAUAGAUAAUAAAAUGUGUGUUGUCAACAGAUAACAAUAUUAGAACUUAAAUAUAUUAGGAUAGUUUUAAUGGAGUAUUAAAAUUAUUUGCAAUUUGAUAUGAAUAUAAGGCAUGUUAUAAAGUGUGGAGCAUUUUCUGGCAGACUCCUUUUAUUCCAAGCGUAUAUGGAAAAUUGCAUAAUGCUGAACUGCAAGAAGAUGAAGACAAACUGAUGUCUACUUUGAAAUAAGUAUAUUAAAUAGUUCACAUACUUUAUCUCUGCAAAUGUGGUUCUCUGCUCCUAAUAACACUAUAGCUGGCUAAAAUUUAUACAAUACUUUUUCCAUUGAGUUAGAAAUUGUUCCCUUUUCAGAGAGAG
rnacentral:lncRNA from 1 species